CAGCAGCCGCGGGAAUACGAAGGGGGCUAGCGUUGCUCGGAAUUACUGGGCGUAAAGGGAGCGUAGGCGGACAUUUAAGUCAGGGGUGAAAUCCCGGGGCUCAACCCCGGAAUUGCCUUUGAUACUGGGUGUCUUGAGUAUGAGAGAGGUAUGUGGAACUCCGAGUGUAGAGGUGAAAUUCGUAGAUAUUCGGAAGAACACCAGUGGCGAAGGCGACAUACUGGCUCAUUACUGACGCUGAGGCUCGAAAGCGCGGGGAGCAAACAGGAUUAGAUACCCCUGUAGUCCCUGUCUCUUAUAC
rnacentral:rRNA from 1 species